AUUGAACGCUGGCGGCAGGCCUAACACAUGCAAGUCGAACGAUUGGCGGAAGGGUGAGUAAUGUCUGGGAAACUGCCUGAUGGAUGGGGAUAACUACUGGAACCGUUAGCUAAUACCGCAUACCUUCGGAUGUGCCCAGAUGGGAUUAGCUAGUAGGUGGGGUAACAGCUCACCUGGGCGCCGAUCCCUAGCUGGUCUGAGAGGAUGACCAGCCCUACUGGAACUGAUACACGCUCCAGACUCCUACGGGAGGCCGCAGUGGGGAAUAUUGGACAAUGGGCGAAAGCCUGAUGCAGCCAUGCCGCUUGUCUGAAGAAGGCCUUCGGGUUGUAAAGUACUUUCAGCGGGGAGGCGUUACCCGCAGAAGAAGCACCGGCUAAAUCCGUGCCAGCAGCCGCGGUAAUUC
rnacentral:rRNA from 1 species